UACGUAGGGGGCAAGUGUUGUCCGGAAUCAUUGGGCGUAAAGCGCGUGUAGGCGGCUUCGUAAGUCCGUUGUGAAAGUCCAGGGCUCAACCCUGGAAUGCCGAUGGAUACUGCGGAGCUAGAGUCCGGAAGAGGCGAGUGGAAUUCCUGGUGUAGCGGUGAAAUGCAUAGAUAUCGAGAGGAACACCUGCGGCGAAGGCGGGUUGCUGGGCUGACACUGACGCUGAGGCGCGAAAGCGUGGGGAGCAAACAGG
rnacentral:rRNA from 1 species